GAUGAACGCUGGCGGCGUGCCUAAUACAUGCAAGUCGAGCGAACAGACGAGGAGCUUGCUCCUCUGACGUUAGCGGCGGACGGGUGAGUAACACGUGGAUAACCUACCUAUAAGACUGGGAUAACUUCGGGAAACCGGAGCUAAUACCGGAUAAUAUAUUGAACCGCAUGGUUCAAUAGUGAAAGACGGUUUUGCUGUCACUUAUAGAUGGAUCCGCGCCGCAUUAGCUAGUUGGUAAGGUAACGGCUUACCGAGGCGACGAUGCGUAGCCGACCUGAGAGGGUGAUCGGCCACACUGGAACUGAGACACGGUCCAGACUCCUACGGGAGGCAGCAGUAGGGAAUCUUCCGCAAAGGGCGAAAGCCUGACGGAGCAACGCCGCGUGAGUGAUGAAGGUCUUCGGAUCGUAAAACUCUGUUAUUAGGGAAGAACAAAUGUGUAAGUAACUAUGCACGUCUUGACGGUACCUAAUCAGAAAGCCACGGCUAACUACGUG
rnacentral:rRNA from 1 species